UACCCCGAGGAAAAGAAAUCAACCGAGAUUCCCCCAGUAGCGGCGAGCGAACGGGGAGCAGCCCAGAGCCUGAAUCAGUGUGUGUGUUAGUGGAAGCGUCUGGAAAGGCGCGCGAUACAGGGUGACAGCCCCGUACACAAAAAUGCACAUACUGUGAGCUCGAUGAGUAGGGCGGGACACGUGGUAUCCUGUCUGAAUAUGGGGGGACCAUCCUCCAAGGCUAAAUACUCCUGACUGACCGAUAGUGAACCAGUACCGUGAGGGAAAGGCGAAAAGAACCCCGGCGAGGGGAGUGAAAAAGAACCUGAAACCGUGUACGUACAAGCAGUGGGAGCACAGAGCAAUCUGUGUGACUGCGUACCUUUUGUAUAAUGGGUCAGCGACUUAUAUUCUGUAGCAAGGUUAACCGAAUAGGGGAGCCGAAGGGAAACCGAGUCUUAACUGGGCGUUAAGUUGCAGGGUAUAGACCCGAAACCCGGUGAUCUAGCCAUGGGCAGGUUGAAGGUUGGGUAACACUAACUGGAGGACCGAACCGACUAAUGUUGAAAAAUUAGCGGAUGACUUGUGGCUGGGGGUGAAAGGCCAAUCAAACCGGGAGAUAGCUGGUUCUCCCCGAAAGCUAUUUAGGUAGCGCCUCGUGAAUUCAUCUCCGGGGGUAGAGCACUGUUUCGGCAAGGGGGUCAUCCCGACUUACCAACCCGAUGCAAACUGCGAAUACCGGAGAAUGUUAUCACGGGAGACACACGGCGGGUGCUAACGUCCGUCGUGAAGAGGGAAACAACCCAGACCGCCAGCUAAGGUCCCAAAGUCAUGGUUAAGUGGGAAACGAUGUGGGAAGGCCCAGACAGCCAGGAUGUUGGCUUAGAAGCAGCCAUCAUUUAAAGAAAGCGUAAUAGCUCACUGGUCGAGUCGGCCUGCGCGGAAGAUGUAACGGGGCUAAACCAUGCAC
rnacentral:rRNA from 1 species